CCUAUACAUGACUCUGCGCAUAUCAAUAAGCGGAGGAAAAGAAACUAACAAGGAUUCCCCUAGUAACGGCGAGUGAAGCGGGAAGAGCUCAAAUUUGAAAUCUUAAAGGGUUUCCCUUUACGAAUUGUAGUUUAAAGAAGUGUUUUCUGUUGAGGUUUUGGUAAAAGUUCUUUGGAAUAGGACAUCAUAGAGGGUGAGAAUCCCGUAUUUGACCUUUACUUUCAACUUUGUGAUACACUUUCAAAGAGUCGGAUUGUUUGGGAAUGCAGUCCAAAAUGGGUGGUAAAUUUCAUCUAAAGCUAAAUAUUGGCGAGAGACCGAUAGCGAACAAGUACCGUGAGGGAAAGAUGAAAAGAACUUUGAAAAGAGAGUUAAACAGUACGUGAAAUUGUCAAAAGGGAAGCGUUUGACACCAGUGUUGUUUUUCUGAAAAUCAAUUAAAGAACUGUUUAUGCUAAGUUGUUUAGACUUUAUCAGCUAACUGUUUAGUUUUGAGCUUUUCUUUAAUGCACUUUUCAGUUAACAAGUCAACAUCAAUUUCUUUUGCUGUAAAAAAGCUUGAGGAAGGUGGCUUGAGAUUCGUCUUAAGUGUUUAUAGCCUCUUGCCUAUGCAGUCGGAGAGAUUGAGGUCUGCAGCGUAGAUCCUUCGGGGCUAAAUGCAUUUGUGCUAAGUUAUAACAUUUUAUAGACAACUUGUUGACUAUGAUUUGUCUUGUAGCUUACUCGCUUAUGUUAUUUUACCUACGCUUAGGAUGUUGAGCGCAUGUCUCUCUCU
rnacentral:rRNA from 1 species